GGUAAUUUGAGCGGUGACGGGUCGGUCCUCGCGCGCCUCCCUGGGUCCCUGCACCUAGUUGGAGGGGACUGAGCGACAACGGGGCGCUACUCAGGCAACCUGGGGGACUCCCUCAGGGGGUGUCAGGCUUCAGCUGGGAGCCGAUGAAACACCCCAGGGGGGAGGGGAGGUCAGUCAAUUCUAAUCCCUACGUGCCCUUGGUCCCCGGCGCUCGAAACAGCGUCUAAAAGGGCUCACUCUGAUCAUCAGCUGCACGUUAACCCGCAAACCGGCGUCGCUUCGGCGUUCCGGAACCCAGGCCCGGGGGCCGCGGGGAUUGCCUCUGCAUGCAACUCCGGAAAGUUUCAAGGGGCCCCUUGACUGCACAGGUCCGGAAAUCGGCUUUGAUAUGGAACUACUCCGCUCUAGCCUGGAAAGGAGACCCGCGCACUCCUCUCGCAGCUAAUUUGGGAUCAUUAAUUUAAUCGGAAAUGAGGUAACCAGUGUAGGAGACAGAGAAAGCAACCGGAGCAUCAAAUGGCAGUUCUGCAAUCGACGAGGAACUUAAAUCUGGACUCAGGGUUUCAGUGCGGUCCCCGACUCCCACCACCCGGCCCCUCCGCCUGUCCCGCCGCCAGGUGUGACCUCCACGCGAAGGAAUCUUCUGCGGAUGGGUGCACCUUGCCAACAGGUGUGGCACCUGGAGGAUUAAGAGGCGCCUCCAGACUAAGGGCGCUCAAUGUGGUGUUCUUGUUGCAGAUGAUUCUGGAAGGCCAGUAGGUGUCGGGAGACAUUUGACCUUCUUCAGGUGCUUAGAACUAAGUGUCUGGAAACAUGAUCCCUUCGCGUAAGUUUUUUUCUGAAAGACACCGCUCUUGACUGUAAGCUGUAUUUGAGAGACCUUUUGGCUCAGUUUACUUAAGACCUAACGGUUAGUCACCAACUGAGGCAGGGCACAGGAUAACCAAAAAAAAAAAUGUCAGUUUUUACACAACUCUGGCCUGCAAGAGUCUACGUGCUUCAUAAAUAAAAAUAAACAUCCGAGCGAGGAAGGUGCAGAGCCCCGGAAAUAUUUGUUCUCACGUUUUUGAAGUACCGUGCACAUAUACGUGGCUAUUUAAAUGUAACUACUACUGUUCACUGUUACUCAUUUCUACAACUUUCUUUUUUCCAUUUAAAAAUCGAUUAUUGUUACGGUUUAAACCUCGGGUUGGUCUAAAGUGACAUUGUUGGUCUCAUUACAGCCUCUAGUGGACAGUUAACAUCGGUUUCCUGAAGAGGCUCGGACUGAUUUUGUUUUCAUUGACAAGCUUGGCCAAGGUGAAGGUUAGUACGUAAGAGCAUAAUCGGGUAAAAUGUCCCCCUACCCCUAACCUCACCCCCGCCCCCAACACCCUACUUGGCAAAGACGACUUCAGAAAGGAGUAGUGGCUUGUUGACUUUGUGUAGAAAAGACGUAUGCUUUGUGCUGCAGGUAUUAUUAUUACCGGACUGUGAAUAAACAGAAAGCUUCUGCUAUUCA